UGCGGAGAAUGCCAUCAGGUAACAUGGU
rnacentral:piRNA from 1 species